AUAUUAGCCAAAAGGCCAAGAAGCAAGCAUAGUAGCUAUUCCUAUCAGUUUAAUAUCUGACACAUCCUCUAUCCAAGGACAAUAUAUUAAAUGGAUUUUUGUAACUAGGAGAUGGAACAGAACUUGCUCCAUCCACUCCAUGCAUUGACCCAGGUAUUACUGUACUUCCAGGAAUAGUGCACCCCCU
rnacentral:snRNA from 1 species